rnacentral:rRNA from 1 species
UACGUAGGGGGGCAAGCGUUGUCCGGAUUUAUUGGGCGUAAAGAGCGUGUAGGCGGCCAGGUAGGUCCGUUGUGAAAACUCGAGGCUCAACCUCGAGACGUCGGCGGAAACCCUCUGGCUAGAGUCCGGAAGAGGAGAGUGGAAUUCCUGGUGUAGCGGUGAAAAUGCGCAGAUAUCAGGAAGAACACCCGUGGCGAAGGCGGCUCUCUGGGACGGUACUGACGCUGAGACGCGAAAGCGUGGGGAGCAAACAGG